GAUGAACGCUAGCUACAGGCUUAACACAUGCAAGUCGCGGGGCAGCAUGGGGGUUGCUUGCAAUCCCCGAUGGCGACCGGCGCACGGGUGAGUAACGCGUAUCCAACCUGCCCUUCACCACGGGAUAACCCGGCGAAAGUCGGACUAAUACCGUAUGUUGUCCAUUGACGGCAUCCGAUUUGGACGAAAGGUUUGGCGGUGAAGGAUGGGGAUGCGUCCGAUUAGCUGGACGGCGGGGUGACGGCCCACCGUGGCGACGAUCGGUAGGGGUUCUGAGAGGAAGGUCCCCCACACUGGAACUGAGACACGGUCCAGACUCCUACGGGAGGCAGCAGUGAGGAAUAUUGGUCAAUGGGCGUAAGCCUGAACCAGCCAAGUAGCGUGCAGGAUGACGGCCCCAUGGGUUGUAAACUGCUUUUAUGCGGGGAUAAAGUGGCCCACGUGUGGGUUUUUGCAGGUACCGCAUGAAUAAGGACCGGCUAAUUCCGUG
rnacentral:rRNA from 1 species